rnacentral:rRNA from 1 species
UGCCCUAGUAACGGCGAGUGAAGCGGCAACAGCUCAAAUUUGAAAUCCGGCGCCAGCGGUGCCCGAGUUGUAAUUUGCAGAGGGUGACUCGAGUCCGCCCCCCGUCUAAGUCCCUUGGAACGGGGCGUCAUAGAGGGUGAGAAUCCCGUGUGCGACGGGGCGGCGUGCCCAUGUGAGUCCCCUUCGACGAGUCGAGUUGUUUGGGAAUGCAGCUCUAAAUGGGAGGUAAAUUCCUUCUAAAGCUAAAUACCGGCCAGAGACCGAUAGCGCACAAGUAGAGUGAUCGAAAGAUGAAAAGCACUUUGGAAAGAGAGUUAAAAAGUACGUGAAAUUGUUGAAAGGGAAGCGCUCACGACCAGACUCGGGCGCGGCUGCUCAGCCGGUCUUUUGACCGGUGCAUCGGUCGUGCCCGGGCCAGCAUCGGUUCGGGCGGUCGGACAAAGGCGUCGGGAAUGUGGCUCCUCUCGGGGAGUGUUAUAGCCCGGAGUACAAUGCGGCCUGCCCGGACCGAGGACCGCGUUCGCUAGGAUGCUGGCGUAAUGGUCGUCAGCGGCCCGUCUUGAAACACGGACCAAGGAGUCUACCAUCUGUGCGAGUGUUCGGGUGUCAAACCCUUGCGCGUAAUGAAAGUGAACGGAGGUGGGAACCCUUUGGGUGCACCAUCGACCGAUCCAGAUGUCCUCGGACGGAUUUGAGUAAGAGCACCGCUGGUGGGACCCGAAAGAUGGUGAACUAUGCGCGGAUAGGGUGAAGCCAGAGGAAACUCUGGUGGAGGCUCGCAGCGGUUCUGACGUGCAAAUCGAUCGUCAAAUCUACGCAUAGGGGCGAAAGACUAAUCGAACCAUGAAAACGACUACUAGGUGGUUGAGAGCGAGUACCUCGUGGGUACUCACUUAGUCCCCCCGCUUCCGUGGGAAGGGCAACACCGUCAAACUGCGGGAACUCCUGUCAAGCGAUCCGGGUGACCGCCUUCCCGCCGAAAGGCGGAGAGCAGGCGCCGAGCGAAGCUGCUCGGGUAGGGUCAAAGCAACCCGCGCUCAGGUGAUCCGCAGCCCCGCCCGUAGGCUCGCCAGACACGGCCCGGGCGAGGGUUCAGAGACUAAACGACGGUGGGCACGGCUCGUGCCUGAGAGAUAGUCCGUCUGCCCCGAAACGGGGACAGAUACGGGCGUGGUACGCGCGCCCGAUGCCAGACGCUAGUAGCUGGUUCCUGCCGAAGUUUCCCUCAGGAUAGCAGUCACGUCUUCAGUUUUAUGAGUAGAGCGAAUGAUUAGAGGCCUUGGGGUUGAAACAACCUUAACCUAUUCUCAAACUUCGAAUAUGUAAGAAGCCCUUGUUACUUGAUUGAACGUGGGCAUUCGAAUGUACCGUGACUAGUGGGCCAUUUUUGGUAAGCAGAACUGGCGAUGCGGGAUGAACCGAACGUGAGGUUAAGGUGCCGGAAUGCACGCUCAUCAGACACCACAAAAGGUGUUAGUUCAUCUAGACAGCAGGACGGUGGCCAUGGAAGUCGGAAUCCGCUAAGGAGUGUGUAACAACUCACCUGCCGAAUGAACUAGCCCUGAAAAUGGAUGGCGCUCAAGCGUGCUACCCAUACCUCACCGUCGGGGCAGAAACGAUGCCCCGACGAGUAGGCAGGCGCGGGGGCCCGUGACGAAGCCCAGGGAGCGAUCCCGGGUCGAACGGCUCUCGGUGCAGAUCUUGGUGGUAGUAGCAAAUACUCAAAUGGGAACUUUGAGGACUGAAGUGGGGAAAGGUUCCGUGUGAACAGCAGUUGGACACGGGUUAGUCGAUCCUAAGCGAUAGGGUAGUUCCGUAAAAGUGCGCAAAUGCGCCGCGUCGCGAAAGGGAAGCCGGUUAACAUUCCGGCACCUGGAUGUGGAUUCUUCGCGGCAACGCAACCGAAGGCGGAGACGGCGGCUGGAGCCCUGGGUAGAGUUUUCUUUUCUGCUUAACGGCCCGCCACCCUGAAAACGGUUUGUCCGGAGCUAGGGUUCAAUGGCCGGUAG